rnacentral:rRNA from 1 species
UUUAAAGGGCUGCGGUAAUUUGACCGUGCAAAGGUAGCAUAAUCAAUAGUCUUUUAAUUGAUGGCUUGAAUGAAAGGUUUGACGGAAGAGAGGCUGUCUUAAUUGAUUUGUAUUGAAUUUGACAUUUAUGUGAAAAGGCAUUAAUGAUUUAAAGGGACGAUAAGACCCUAUAAAAUUUUACAUGUAGAAUAUUUUUUAAUAAAAUUGAUUAGUAAAUGUUAGUUGAUACACUUUGUUUUGCUGGGGCGGUAAAAAUAUAAGUUUAACUGUUUUAUGUUUAAAAUAUUGUUAAAUAGAGAGUGGUCUUUUAUUAAGGAGAGAAGAAUAAGUUACUUUAGGGAUAACAGCAUAAUUUUUUCUGAGAGUUCUUAUCGAAGACAGUAGUUGUGACCUCGAUGUUGAAUUAAAUUUUUCCUUAGGUGCAGGAGUUUAAAGGGG